rnacentral:rRNA from 1 species
UACAGGAGGUGCAAGCGUUGUUCGAAUUAUUGGGCGUAAAGCGCGUGUAGGCGGCUUUGCAAGUCGGGUGUGAAAGCCCUCAGCUCAACUGAGGAAGUGCGCCCCGAAACUGCAGAGCUUGAGUGCCGGAGAGGGUGGCGGAAUUCCCCCAAGUAGAGGUGAAAAUUCGUAGAUAUGGGGGAGGAACACCGGUGGCGAAGGCGGCCAC